UUGCACCGUGGAGUCCACGGCGCUCUAGUGUCAAAAAGGGCUAUUGCGCCGUGGAUACCAGUUAGCGCUAGUGUAGUCCCGAGUCGUUAUGAAAAAUGAUUGUUUGAUUGAGGUCUCGUGGUGGAGGCCAUGGCUUCAUGAAGGUUCCACAUACUACACAGGAUGACAGGAUAACGAAAAUGUGGUUCCAAUGAACCACUGCAGCACAAAUUCAAAUCUUGUGAAGACUGAAGAGGUGGUAGCUUUUAGUCACUCCAGCACGCUGUCAAGUCAGUACUCCUUAUGAUAAUGUUGCAACAAGCCGUCUACUGUCCCCAAAAACAAGUA